rnacentral:lncRNA from 1 species
CCGCAAGGCUCUAAGAUGGCUGUGACUUUGGGUCCCAGAUCCUCAGUACGGGGUGGUCAUUGCGGCACCCGAAAACCAUGAGCCUGAGGGGACUCCUCAGUCUCAAACUGUAGCUGCACUGCUGUCCUGCAGGCUCUGCUGAAACUAGAGUAUCAAAGUCCCUGGAGAAGUAGGUGCACCACAUGCCCUACCAGGAGUCCUGAGCCAAGCUGUGCGGGACAAAGAGCACUGUCUUCGAACUGCUCCCAUGAAAGAAGGAUUCUUUCCAAGGAUCUUCAUCACUGUUAUCAGGAUCUCCAUCAUCUCCUACCUCCCUACCACCCCGUGUUUGACUUUGGUGACAGCAACGAAGGACAAGUACUGCUGUCCCAGUAUGGAUAUAGCCUUCAGAACCUUCGCAGGGGUGCCCCUAGGAAGCAAGAGGAGGGCACAGCUGUGGGUGGCACCCCUGGGGUAUCCCAAAUGGGGAGGAGGGGCAGGAUGAAAAGGCAACUGCCCUGGUUGGCAGAAGAGAGCUUAGCAGUGGACCUAGGCAAAGAGAGACCAUGCCAACCACAGAUGUUUGUGGUGCUGGGUCACAGCUGGGCAGCACAGAGGACAUACCUCCGUCCAGCCCUGAGGUUCCACUACGGGUUUCAGCUGCAGUGCACCCUUUCUGAGGCUUCAUGGCAAACCCAGAAGCCAGGCGAGAGGCAGGCAGGAGGGGGUGAAAAAGAAAAAAAGAGGAGCCUUUCGUUAAUCCAAACUUGGAAGGGCACGAGAGUUCAAAGCGGGACCUGAAUUGUCCCUCUGUUUGCUUAUCUACUGGCCUGCUAGAGGGACUGGGCCAGAAUCCGAAAAUAUCUGUUUACCCAGAGGGAUCAGCAGAGAAACUGAAAUUAUUUAUCUGGCUGGCUAGGUGAUGAAGGUCUGCAGAGAUCAGUACUGAACCUGAAAUUGACUGUCAGCCCGUCUGUGCUUCACCAGGACAAGGGCCCAGAGGGAUCAGCACAGGAUUCAAAAUUACGUGUCUUUUCACACCUCAGCCUAUUUAACUUUCCCAGGUCCGAGACAUGAAGCAGGCCAGCAGAAACAUGAAGUGCAUCUCUCAGAUGGGGGAUCAGCCUGCUCUUGAGCGGUAUAAAAUGCUACGAGUUGUCAGAGCAUCAGUGCAGUUGUCGAAGACUUUAUGGUUUACAAGGGAGUUGCUAAAACAUACU